GACGGAGGGUGCUAGCGUUGUUCGGAAUCACUGGGCGUAAAGGGCGCGUAGGCGGCUUCAGGUGUCGGAUGUGAAAGCCCGGGGCUCAACCCCGGAGGUGCAUCCGAAACUCUGGAGCUGGAGGCCGGAAGAGGAGGGUGGAAUACCCAGUGUAGAGGUGAAAUUCGUAGAUAUUGGGUGGAACACCGGUGGCGAAAGCGGCUCUCUGGUCCGGUCCUGACGCUGAGGCGACGAAAGCGUGGGGAGCAAACAGG
rnacentral:rRNA from 1 species